rnacentral:lncRNA from 1 species
AGAGAAAUUCUCAACCUUACGAGUUAUCUGACGCUUACUGGAAAAAGAUGCGAUCAUUCUUGGCUCUCUGGUUAUCAUUCUUCUAUAGAAAUCUACCUUAUUUCUAACAAAAGGAAUUUUGGCCAGUUAGUUUAUGAAGAGCGCACUAUUUUUGUCUUUAAGUUGCCAGAACUUGUUAUAACCAGUUAAUCACCACAGAAGUAUGAUUGGAUAAUUCAUUCUCGAGUUGGACUUCCUCUUACUAAUUGAAACUCCUCAUCGGGUGUCCUCUUGAUUAAACAGAAUAAAAAUGCCCUGCCUACCCGGUUAUCUUUUUGCUCACUGUACCUCUUAAAGGAGAUAUAAAUAUCCAGGUUCUAAUCAAUACCUCCUGCAGAAGUAAGUGAUUAUACACUGAAUCAAAUGAAGCAUAUGACUUAUACACUGAAUGAAGCAUAUUACUUAUACACUAAAUCAAAGACCUAAUAAUAAAUCAGCCCAUACUCCUCCAAAAAUCCAAAAUCAUGAAAAUCAGUUACGCAUAUACACACAAGUGACUAUAAAAGCAGCUCCAUAAGUCUAUUACCUAUCGAAGAGCCCCUAAUCAAACACAGCUCACAUCAUAGCAAAAGAUUGCAUGUAUCUUUUUCUUUACCAAUUUUCAAGCUUUUGGAUCUAAACAAAGAGAACCCACGUUUCUUAUAUCACAAAUAAAUAGAUGCCAACAUAUAAUGGAAGUCAGAUUAACGUAAGACAUCACUACAUGAAGAGAAUCAAUACCAACUUUUUUCUGUUGUUUGUAACGAAUGAAAAAUGGAGAAACAACUAAAAAAAAUUCAAUUUCCCAUUUUAUGCAUCUAACCGAAAAAGAAGAAAUAAAAAAAAAAAAAAAAAGAUUACAACGAGAAUAGGGAGAUUGCUUACUGACAGAGCCGGUCCUGUGAUUUAUGGGCCCUGAGGCGAAGCGUGUAAAGUAGGCCCCCCA